GACGAACGCUGGCGGCGUGCCUAAUACAUGCAAGUCGAACGCAGUGGGGACGGGUGAGUAACACGUGGGUCACCUCCCAUCAUAGGGGAUAACACUUGGCAACAGGUGCUAAACCGAUACGGCUGGAUGGACCCGCGGUUCAUUAGCUUGUUGGUGAGGUAACGGCUCCCCAAGGCCAAGUUGCAUAGCCGCCCUGGGGGGGGGAACGGUCACACUGGGACAGGGACACGGACCAAACUCCUACGGGAGGCCGGAGUAGGGAAUCUUCGGCAAUGGACGAAAGGCCGACCGAGCAACGCCGCGGGAGUGAAGAAGGGUUUCGGAUUGUAAAACUCUGUUGUUAGAUAAGCGGUAUCUAACCAGAAAGCCACGGCUAACUACGUGCCAACCGCCGCGGUAAUAC
rnacentral:rRNA from 1 species